rnacentral:RNase_P_RNA from 1 species
GAGGCAGGCCGGGCCGCCGCUCUUCGUGAAAAACCAAAAGUGUUUCGCGGGAGGGAGGAAAGUCCGGGCUCCGCAGGGCACGGUACCGGGUAACGCCCGGACGCCGGAUACGGGAGACCUUCUCCGGCGAUAGACAGCGCCACAGAAAAUAUACCGCGGGCGGCGAGAGCUGUCCGUAAGGGUGAAAAGGCGGCGUAAGAGACCACCGCCUCUUCGGCAACGGGGAGGGCAGGGCAAGCCUUACCGGGAGCAAAGUCAAGAAGCGGAGGGCGGCCCGCCCAAUCCGCGGGUAGACUGCGGCAUGGUUUUGGCGACAAAACCGGCAGAUAGAUGACGGCCCCCUGUUCCUCCGGCUUUGGGGAAACGGGGACAGAACCCGGCUUACAGGCCUGCCUUUUUU